rfam:Dipodomys ordii contig_32436, whole genome shotgun sequence.
GGUGGCUCAGUGGUAGAGCUCUUGCUUUGCAUGCAUGAGGCCCUGGGUUCAAUUCCUCAGCACCA